rnacentral:lncRNA from 1 species
CUCUUUUUGCUGAGGAGGAUUGGCCCUGAACUACCAUCUGUGCGCAUCGUCUUCUACUUUAUAUGUGAGACACCUGCCACAGCAUGGCUUGAUAAGUGGUGGUUUUAGCUAAGAUUCCAAUUUGAAAAGCUGACUCACUAAAUAAGAGUCCCAGUGCGUGGUUGUAUAUCCUAGUUGUAAGUUAUUCUGGUUCUUCUAUGUGGGCCACCACCACAGCAUGACAACUGACAGACAGCUGGUGUGGUUCUGCUACUAGGAAACAAACCGGGCAGCGCAAGCAGUGAGCACCGAACUUUAACCAUUAGCCCCUCAGGACUGGCUUUGCACCUCUCUUUUAAUCUCACAGUUUUGUCAUGCUUUUGAUCAAAGUGGCUGAAGAAGAAACUGCACAGGUAUGCCCAACCUAGUUCCUGCAGAGACUGCCUGAGAAGAUCUGAGGAGGAAGGAAGGACAGAAAGCUACUGUCAACUUCAUAGCUGCUGACAGGCCCAGCAGCUCUGCACAUGGACUAGCCCACAACCAACAGAGCUGGAGGUUUACAGACACCGACGGAAAGCGAACCCACCUCCAACUCUCUGUGAAUGGUGAACGGGAAAAACCAAAACUGAGGCCAGCCAGGGGUGGGGGAG